AGUGAACGCUGGCGGUAGGCCUAAUACAUGCAAGUCGAACGGCAGCACAGUAAGAGCUUGCUCUUCCGGGUGGCGAGUGGCGGACGGGUGAGGCAUACAUCGGAAUCUACUUUUUCGUGGGGGAUAACGUGGGGAAAUUUACGCUAAUACCGCAUACGACCUACUGGUUAAAGCAGGCGUUCUUCGUACCUUGCGCGAUCUAAUGAGCCGACUUAGAAUUAGUUAGUUGGUGGGGUAAAGGCCCACUAAGGCGACGAUCCGUAGCUGGCCUGGGAGGAUGUGGAGCCACACGGGAACUAGGACACGGUCCAGACUCCAACGGGAGGAAGCAGUGGGGAAGAUUGGACAAUGGGCGCAAGCCUGAUCCAGCCAUACCGGGUAGGUGAAGAAGGCCUUCGGGUUGUAAAGCCCGUUUGUUGGGAAAGAAAAGCAGCAGGUUAAUACCCCGCUGUUCUGACGGUACCCAAAGAGUAAGCACCGGCUAACUUCGUG
rnacentral:rRNA from 1 species